CGUAGGGUGCAAGCGUUAAUCGGAAUUACUGGGCGUAAAGCGUGCGCAGGCGGUGAUGUAAGACAGGUGUGAAAUCCCCGGGCUUAACCUGGGAACUGCAUUUGUGACUGCAUCGCUGGAGUGCGGCAGAGGGGGAUGGAAUUCCGCGUGUAGCAGUGAAAUGCGUAGAUAUGCGGAGGAACACCGAUGGCGAAGGCAAUCCCCUGGGCCUGCACUGACGCUCAUGCACGAAAGCGUGGGGAGCAAACAGGAUUAGAUACCCUGGUAGUCCACGCCCUAAACGAUGUCAACUGGUUGUUGGUCCUUCACUGGAUCAGUAACGAAGCUAACGCGUGAAGUUGACCGCCUGGGGAGUACGGCCGCAAAGGUUG
rnacentral:rRNA from 1 species